rnacentral:rRNA from 1 species
GUUAUAUGGUCAAGCGAAUAAGCGCACACGGUGGAUGCCUUGGCGGUCAGAGGCGAUGAAGGACGUGGCAGCCUGCGAAAAGUAUCGGGGAGCUGGCAACAAGCUUUGAUCCGGUAAUGUCCGAAUGGGGAAACCCACCCGCUUGCGGGUAUCCUGCAGUGAAUACAUAGCUGCUGGAAGCGAACCUGGUGAACUGAAAUAUCUAAGUAACCAGAGGAAAAGAAAUCAACCGAGAUUCCCUGAGUAGCGACGAGCGAACGGGGACUAGCCCUUAAGCUGGAAUGGUUCUAGAAAAACAGCCUGGAACGGCUGGCCAUAGAAGGUGAUAGCCCUGUAUUUAAAAGGGCCACUCCAGUGAAGACGAGUAGGGCGGGGCACGUGAAACCCUGUCUGAACAUGGGGGGACCAUCCUCCAAGGCUAAAUACUACUGACCGACCGAUAGUGAACCAGUACCGUGAGGGAAAGGCGAAAAGAACCCCGGAGAGGGGAGUGAAAUAGAUCCUGAAACCGUGUGCGUACAAGCAGUAGGAGCUCGAAAGAGUGACUGCGUACCUUUUGUAUAAUGGGUCAGCGACUUACUGUUCGUGGCAAGCUUAACCGUAUAGGGGAGGCGAAGGGAAACCGAGUCUGAUAAGGGCGCAUAGUCGCGGGCAGUAGACCCGAAACCGGGUGAUCUAGUCAUGGCCAGGGUGAAGGUGCCGUAACAGGUACUGGAGGCCCGAACCCACGUCUGUUGCAAAAGACGGGGAUGAGCUGUGAUUAGGAGUGAAAAGCUAAUCGAACCCGGAGAUAGCUGGUUCUCCUCGAAAGCUAUUUAGGUAGCGCCUCAUAUGUAUCCUCUCGGGGGUAGAGCACUGUUAUGGCUAGGGGGUCAUCGCGACUUACCAAACCAUUGCAAACUCCGAAUACCGAGACGGACUGUAUGGGAGACACACGGCGGGUGCUAACGUCCGUCGUGAAAAGGGAAACAACCCAGACCCACAGCUAAGGUCCCAAAUUCACUGCUAAGUGGAAAACCAUGUGGAAAGGCACAGACAGCCAGGAGGUUGGCUUAGAAGCAGCCACCCUUUAAAGAAAGCGUAAUAGCUCACUGGUCGAGUCGGUCUGCGGGGAAGAUUUAACGGGGCUAAGCAGUGAACCGAAGCUUGGGGUGUGCAUAUUUAUAUGUACGCGGUAGAGGAGCGUUCCGUAAGCCGUUGAAGGUGGAUUGAGAAGUCUGCUGGAGGUAUCGGAAGUGCGAAUGCUGACAUGAGUAACGAUAAUGCGGGUGAAAAACCCGCACGCCGAAAGCCCAAGGUUUCCUUGCGCAACGUUAAUCGGCGCAGGGUGAGUCGGCCCCUAAGGCGAGGACGAAAGUCGUAGUCGAUGGGAAGCAGGUUAAUAUUCCUGCACCUCGCGUAAGUGCGAUGGAGGGACGGAGAAGGUUAGGUGUACCCGGCGUUGGUUGUCCGGGGGAAAGGAGGUAGGUUUGAAUCUUUGGCAAAUCCGGGAUUCUUCAAGACCGAGCACCGAGACGAGCCUUUAAGGCGAAGUCACUGAUACCACGCUUCCAGGAAAAGCUCCUAAGCUUCAGCUUACGCAGACCGUACCGUAAACCGACACAGGUGGGUAGGAUGAGAAUUCUCAGGCGCUUGAGAGAACUCGGGUGAAGGAACUAGGCAACAUGGCACCGUAACUUCGGGAGAAGGUGCGCCCUUUUUGGUGGCUCAUGCGAGCUAUAGCUGAAGAGGGCCGCAGAAACCAGGCCGCUGCGACUGUUUAUCAAAAACACAGCACUCUGCAAACACGAAAGUGGACGUAUAGGGUGUGACGCCUGCCCGGUGCUGGAAGGUUAAUUGAUGGGGUCAGCCGCAAGGCGAAGCUCUUGAUCGAAGCCCCAGUAAACGGCGGCCGUAACUAUAACGGUCCUAAGGUAGCGAAAUUCCUUGUCGGGUAAGUUCCGACCUGCACGAAUGGCGUAACGACAGCGGCGCUGUCUCCACCCGAGACUCAGUGAAAUUGAAAUCGCUGUGAAGAUGCAGCGUUCCCGUGGCAAGACGGAAAGACCCCGUGAACCUUUACUAUAGCUUUACACUGAACGUUGAGUUCGUCUGUGUAGGAUAGGUGGGAGGCUAUGAAACCAUGGCGCUAGCUGUGGUGGAGCCAUCCUUGAAAUACCACCCUGUCGUGCUUGACGUUCUAACCUGGGUCCAUAAUCUGGAUCGGGGACCGUGUAUGGUGGGUAGUUUGACUGGGGCGGUCUCCUCCUAAAGAGUAACGGAGGAGCUCGAAGGUACGCUCAGCGCGGUCGGACAUCGCGCACUGUGUGCAAAGGCAUAAGCGUGCUUGACUGCAAGAUCGACGGAUCAAGCAGGUAGGAAACUAGGACUUAGUGAUCCGGUGGUUCUGUAUGGAAGGGCCAUCGCUCAACGGAUAAAAGGUACUCCGGGGAUAACAGGCUGAUACCGCCCAAGAGUUCAUAUCGACGGCGGUGUUUGGCACCUCGAUGUCGGCUCAUCACAUCCUGGGGCUGUAGUCGGUCCCAAGGGUAUGGCUGUUCGCCAUUUAAAGUGGUACGCGAGCUGGGUUCAGAACGUCGUGAGACAGUUCGGUCCCUAUCUGCCAUGGGCGUUGGAGAUUUGAGAGGGGCUGCUCCUAGUACGAGAGGACCGGAGUGGACGAACCUCUGGUGUUCCGGUUGUCACGCCAGUGGCAUUGCCGGGUAGCUAUGUUCGGAAGCGAUAACCGCUGAAAGCAUCUAAGCGGGAAGCGCGCCUCAAGAUGAGAUCUCCCGGGGCACAAGCCCCCUGAAGGAACCAUAUAGACUAUGUGGUUGAUAGGUCAGGUGUGUAAGUACAGCAAUGUAUUGAGCUAACUGAUACUAAUGAUCCGUGUGGCUUGACCAUAUAACCU